AUGCAGGGUGGAAGGGACAGGGGGCAGAGAUGUCUUCCAAACCUGGUAUUGAGGAAAAGGACCACAGGACUACCUCAGGAAAGAAGAUACAACUUGGGAGAAGAUACAAACUUGGGAGGGAUCUUUCUUGCAAGUGAAAUAUUAGAAGCUAGUGAAAUCAUUCCAGUGCACCCACGCCAAGUGGGUGGAAGAGAGAGAUUUAAUAGCAGGAUGAGACAAAAGGAUACGCAGCAGGCCUGA
rnacentral:lncRNA from 1 species